AACGAACGCUGGCGGCAGGCCUAACACAUGCAAGUCGAGCGAAGCCUUCGGGCUUAGCGGCGGACGGGUGAGUAACGCGUGGGAACGUGCCCUUUGGUAAGGAAUAACGUAGAGAAAUUUACGCUAAUACCUUAUAAUGACUACGGUCCAAAGAUUUAUCGCCGAAGGAUUAGCCCGCGUUAGAUUAGGUAGUUGGUAGGGUAAUGGCCUACCAAGCCUACGAUCUAUAGCUGGUCUUAGAGGAUGAUCAGCCACACUGGAACUGAGACACGGUCCAGACUCCUACGGGAGGCAGCAGUGAGGAAUAUUGCGCAAUGGGGGAAACCCUGACGCAGCCAUGCCGCGUGAGUGACGAAGGCCUUAGGGUUGUAAAGCUCUUUCUGAUGUAAAGAUAAUGACGGUAACAUCAGAAGAAGCUCCGGCUAAAUUCGUGCCAGCAGCCGCAGUAAUAC
rnacentral:rRNA from 1 species